rnacentral:misc_RNA from 1 species
AAAAGAUUUUAUUAAUAAUAUCCAGGAAAAACAAAUUCCUAAUCUCUAAAUGGUUUGGUCUGACUGAAAUUCAAAUUCAUAACCUAUAUCUUUAAAGAUAUUUUGAGUUCAUUAUUUAAUUCAAAUGCUCAAUCUUACAUGUGAGGGGCAGAAAAAUAAUUUUAUAUCUAUAUAUGACACUCUACAAUCAAAUGCCUAUUGACCAUGCAACAUGAAGAAGCAACUCUCGCCUUAAUUAUGAUGAAAUUUUACUUAAUAAAUGGGUUGAUUAAGAUUUGCAUUCUGAAUAUUUUGAUAUGGCUGAUACCAUGUCGAUAAAUCACAUAAUCUAAUAGCGAAAUCUUGCAGGUGAAAAUUGUAAAAAAUAGUUCUAUAUCUCUAACAUGCAGUAAUUGACUCCAACUAGAAUUCGAAUUCAU